UCCCCGAUAGUAUGUCGGUUAUUACCCGCGCCUGUAACGGCCUCCGCGCGGAAGCUGAGUUCGACUCCCAGCCGGGGAG